rnacentral:rRNA from 1 species
AGAGUUUGAUCCUGGCUCAGGACGAACGCUGGCGGCGUGCCUAACACAUGCAAGUCGAGCGGAGACAGUGAGUAGCUUGCUACGAACUGUUUUAGCGGCGGACGGGUGAGUAACGCGUGAGCAACCUUUCCCAGACAGGGGAAUAACACACCGAAAGGUGUACUAAUACCGCAUAAGACCACGGGAUCACAUGGUUCUGAGGUAAAAGAUUUAUCGGUUUGGGGUGGGCUCGCGUCCGAUUAGGUAGUUGGUGAGGUAACGGCCCACCAAGCCGACGAUCGGUAGCCGACCUGAGAGGGUGAUCGGCCACAUUGGGACUGAGACACGGCCCAAACUCCUACGGGAGGCAGCAGUGGGGAAUAUUGGGCAAUGGAGGAAACUCUGACCCAGCAACGCCGCGUGGAGGAAGAAGGUUUUCGGAUCGUAAACUCCUGUCCUUGGAGACGAGUAGAAGACGGUAUCCAAGGAGGAAGCCCCGGCUAACUACGUGCCAGCAGCCGCGGUAAUACGUAGGGGGCAAGCGUUGUCCGGAAUAAUUGGGCGUAAAGGGCGCGUAGGCGGCUCGGUAAGUCUGGAGUGAAAGUCCUGCUUUUAAGGUGGGAAUUGCUUUGGAUACUGUCGGGCUUGAGUGCAGGAGAGGUUAGUGGAAUUCCCAGUGUAGCGGUGAAAUGCGUAGAGAUUGGGAGGAACACCAGUGGCGAAGGCGACUAACUGGACUGUAACUGACGCUGAGGCGCGAAAGUGUGGGGAGCAAACAGGAUUAGAUACCCUGGUAGUCCACACU